rnacentral:tRNA from 1 species
GCUGAUGUAGCUCAGUUGGAAGAGUGCUUGCCUCACAUGCACAAGGACCUCGGUUCAAUCCCCAGCAUCACA